CAAUAGCGUAUAUUAAAGUUGUUGCAGUUAAAAAGCUCGUAGUUGGAUUUCUGGUUAAAGGUUAGAGCGCACCUGUGUGAGGCUCGAGUCUUUUGCCAUCCUUCUGUUAACCUUUCAUGACAUUCGUUUGUCGGUUUGGGGCUCAGAUAUUUUACCUUGAGAAAAUUAGAGUGUUUCAGGCAGGCUUGUGCCCGGAUACAUUAGCAUGGAAUAAUGGAAUAGGACUUUAGCCUCUUCUGUUGGUCUGAGGGGUUGAAGUAAUGAUUAAUAGGGAUAGUUGGGGGCAUUAGUACUUAACUGGUCAGAGGUGAAAUUCUCGGAUUUGUUAAAGACUAACUUAUGCGAAAGCAUUUGCCAAGGAUGUUUUCAUUAAUCAAGAACGAAAGUUAGGGGAUCAAAGAUGAUC
rnacentral:rRNA from 1 species